GGGGAGGUGGCUCAGUGGCUGAGAGCACUGUUGCUCUUCCAGAAGAUCUGGGUUCAAUUCCCAGCACCCACG
rnacentral:tRNA from 1 species